UACGUAGGGGGCUAGCGCUGUCCGGAAUCAUUGGGCGUAAAGCGCGUGUAGGCGGUCCGGUGAGUCCGCUGUGAAAGUCGGGGGCUCAACCCUCGGAUGCCGGUGGAUACUGUCGGGCUUGAGUACGGAAGAGGCGAGUGGAAUUCCUGGUGUAGCGGUGAAAUGCGCAGAUAUCAGGAGGAACACCAAUUGCGAAGGCAGCUCGCUGGGACGUUACUGACGCUGAGACGCGAAAGCGUGGGGAGCAAACAGG
rnacentral:rRNA from 1 species